ACGAAUUGUCCUCAAAGCGUCUUCUUCCACUUCCUCGUCUCCUCCGAGAUUCGAAACCUAGAAUCUCUAAUUCGUUCAACUUUCCCUAAACUGACGAAUCUCAAAAUUUAGAGGUAGUUGUCGUGAUUUUGCUUCAUUGGUCCUGUGAGUUUGCUUCAUUGGUCAGGUAGUGGUAAGCCAUGGUUAAGACUUGAAAAUGUCAACUUUCGUCGUCAUUGUGGGCACCUUAUGAUCUGUAUAAACACUCUCAUUGACACCGUUUUCGAGUUCGACAUAUUCAUCGCCAUGAGGACUAAACCGAAGAUAAGCAGAGUUUCCUUGGUGGUUUUCAACUGGAAACAAUUCUGUUAAAGAUUGUGUAAACCUUGCCGAAACAGAGUAGUGUUGCUUCAGACAGUUCAAACCAGACUGUAGACGCAAUUUAGAAGAGCAAACUUCUUUUCAAGUAUUCUACCGGCGGUUGAAUAUGUUCUUGUGGGAAGAAAAAAUAAAAAUAUAGUUAGCUUAUUGAUAAGAGGCAUGUGUGGUAGCUCAAAAGGAGUCGUUGAGGCACGUGAAUAAGCAAAGAGAAGCAGAGAAGGCACGUGAAACAGAGUUAAAAACAGAGCAAGAAGAAAUAGAUUGUGUAACCGCUUGAGAGUCCCAAUGAGUUGUAUAUAAAUAGAUAGGAGAGUAUUGAAGAAGUUAUGCAUGUAUUGAUGUGCGUGUAACAAACGUAUGGUUUGUUAGAGGAGAGUUAGGAGAUCACUUGAACAAAUCUCCAUUGUUAGGGUUCUUGAGUUUGUAUCUUGGAUUGAGAAGUGAUAGAGAGAAUAGUUCAUAGCUACAAUUCUUAUCAAUUAUUCACACAUAGUUCAGGUUAAAGUUUUUUUUUUUUUGUUUAUUA